CCUCCUUCCUGGCUACUCACUGGCUUCAUUUUGAGCCUGUGUCAUUAUCUCACGAGCACGUGCUUCCUCCCCAGCCCUAAGCUGCGAAUGUCCUUCAUCACCUACUCCACACGUGGCCACGUCCUCAUGAAUCUCACCUCAGACAAACAAGAAAUACACCCUGGGCUUACCAAACUUCAGAAGGUAGUGCCUACAGGAGACACCAACAUGCGUGAAGGAUUGAAAAAGAAAACAAGGUUGCCUCCAGGAUUAUCUCUCUGACCGAUGGAAAUCUGGAGCCACAGGCGUUUGAAGACACUAAGGAAGAAGUGAGCCCAGACCAUCGUUAACAGCUUUGUGCUCCAUGUAUUUGGUGAAUUAUAUUCGACGCUUUUUUCUCUUAGACUCAGAAGUCUAGGAAAUUGGAGGUGAUUGUAUACUGCGUGGGUGUAAAUGACUAUCAGAGAGACCAGGGAAUUCAGAACAGGUGAACCAGCUGGGGAAAGCUUCCAAGGCAGCUGUCCAGGGUCACCCCGAGGAUGGCCCUCUGCCCUGCCCAGUGCUCAGACAGCAGACAGCCACUGCAGAUGAGCAACGAGUGUUGUGUAGACCUACAGACGGAGGUGCGGGCGGGGGGCUUCCCGGUCCCUAACGAUGGGCUGCUGGCAGAUGCCAGGCGGUGGCCCUUGGGGUCUAACAUGGCAGGAGGCAGGAGCGUGUCUCCUGGGAUGGGACCUGCUGGGUCCUCAACCCCUGGCUGUGGGCCAAGCCACCUCCUCUCCCUUGCAGAUACUGGAAAUUGCAGGCAGCCCAGAUCACGUAUUUGGAGUGGACACAGGAUUCAGUGGUCUUAAAAGCAUCGUUAACUCAGUGAGUGAGGGCUGAAUGUGAGAAGCGGGAAGAGGUGGCUUUGCACCAUGCCCCCACCAUUCAUGCCCCCUGCCCCUGCCCCUCGUUCUAGCUUGCAGCUAAGUCUUAUAUUGAAAUUACAACCAUGACGCCUUCCAGUCUCUGUACAGGAGGCAAGAGCUGGAGUCGCCCUUGUAAACACAAGGGUGUGUGUUUGUGUGAGUUGUGAAUGUGCCCCGUGUGCACUGUGGGAGUGCUGCCAACACGUGGUUUCAGUACGUGUGACAUGUGUGGUGUACGUGUGGUUUGAGUGGAGUGAGUGUGUAUGGCAUGUGUAUGUGGUGUGUGUGAGUGUGGUGUCUGAGUGUGUGGUGUAGGCACAUGGGUUGGUUGUACACAAAUGUGUCGGGCAUAUGACUACAUUGGGCACAUAGGCAUGUGUUUAUGGGAGGUGUGUAUGCCAGGGCUUGUGGGGUGUGUGUUGUUAGUACUUCUUUCUUCCAGUUUUACUGAGAUGUAAUUGACAUACAGCUCUGUAUAAGGUUAAGGUGUGUCC